rnacentral:rRNA from 1 species
ACCGUGAGGGAAAGGUGAAAAGCACCCCGGAAGGGGAGUGAAAUAGAACCUGAAACCGUGUGCUUACAAGUAGUCAGAGCCCGUUAAUGGGUGAUGGCGUGCCUUUUGUAGAAUGAACCGGCGAGUUGCGAUUUGAUGCAAGGUUAAGCAGUAAAUGUGGAGCCGUAGCGAAAGCGAGUCUGAAUAGGGCGUUUAGUAUUUGGUCGUAGACCCGAAACCAGGUGAUCUACCCUUGGUCAGGUUGAAGUUCAGGUA